rnacentral:misc_RNA from 1 species
ACGAAUUGGUUAGCGGGACUGUGCUGGCUUCGGCAUGUGCACGUCUUUGCGAAUUCAUCCAAUACACCUGUGCACCUUUGACUCCGAGUCUCCUUGCGGGACGAGGAGUAUUUACACCACACUCUUAUGCAUGUAUGUGAUAGAAAACAUGGCGCCUAGCGUCGAGUUAAAAA